rnacentral:rRNA from 1 species
UACGUAGGUGGCAAGCGUUGUCCGGAAUUACUGGGUGUAAAGCGCGUGUAGGCGGGAGGCCAAGUCUGCUGUGAAAUCGCUCGGCUCAACUGGGCGAGGUCGGUGGAAACUGGUCCCCUGGAGGACGGUAGAGGCGAGUGGAAUUCCCGGUGUAGUGGUGAAAUGCGUAGAGAUCGGAGGAACGACCAGCGGCGGAAGGCGG